rnacentral:lncRNA from 1 species
GCCAAUCUUCCUCCGCAAAAAAAGAGGAGGAUUGGCAGCAGAUGUUAGCUCAGGGCUAAUCUUCCUCAAAAAGAAAAAAAAAAGGUAACUAUGCGAGGUGGUGAUGCAUUGUUAAUUAGCGUCAUUGUAGUAACCAUUUCACAAUGUGUACACAUAGCAAAUCAUCACACUGUACACCUUAAAUAUACACCAUUUUUAUUUGUCAAUUAUACCUCCAUAAAGCUGAAAAAAAGGGAAUAUUUGUUAAAAACAACAACAACAAAGGCACCAGCAGUCCGCGAUUCUAAUCCUGGCUGUGCCUUUAAACCACUGAGUGAUGCUCCUCAAGUCCCAAAUGCUGCAAGACCUCAGUUCCCCAGUGGACCAGGAGGGACUCGAAUCCUAAGGUCUGCAAUGCCUCCAGAGCUCUGAGAAUCCACGGCUGUUACGGAGCUUGUGAAUUUUCACCAAGUUUCCUGAAGCCGUGCGGGUGGUCCCAGCCACAGGAAGAAGGAAGGGCUUCAAAAAACAAGGAUGGAGUGCAGAGAAGAUCUGUUUCCUGGUCUAGUCUGGUGAGGAAUGGAUUCCUUGAGGCGGUGAUAUUCAAGCAGAGCUCUGAAGCGUGAGUAGUUAGGAGUAAACUGGAGUAAAGAGUGUUGUAAAUUCUGGCUACUCAAAGUGUGGUCUUCAGACCAGCAGCAUCAGCAUCACCUGGGAGUUUGUUAGAAAUGCAAACGCUCAAGCCUCAACACAGAUGUAGUAAAUAAGUAUUCGAACUUUUUAACAAGAUCCCCGGGUGAUUUCUAUUUGCAUUGAAGCUUGAGAAGUGCCGCUCUGAAGGGAAGGAAGAGCGUCUGAGGAGCUGUAAGAGGAUCGGAUGUCCCUGGGACUUAGAAAGAGGCGGUGGUAAUGGUAGAGAUGAGGCUGAGAGGAGCAGCGGCAGACCACCUCAGAUUCUUGUAGCCGUGUUAAGCAAAAAAGAAAUAUUCGAGGGCAAAUAAAUGAUUAUGCUUUUGAGGAAGUUAACUGCCAGGGCACAGGAACACAUAAGCAGCCCUCUGGAGAAGUCUACACGGCGAGGACUGAGGCCUCCUGCCCACAGCCAUUGAGCAGCUGAGGCCUCCAGUCCAUUGCUAUGGAGUGAGCCAUCUUGGAAUUAGAUCCUGCAGUCCCAGUCAAGCCUUCAGAUAAGUGAAGCCCAGCUGACAUCUCGACUACAGUCUCAUGAAAGACCCUGAGCCAGACCCACCCAGCUCAGCUACGCCUGGAUUCCUCACCCUCAGAAACUCUCGGAGAUAACAAAUGAAGACUAGCCCUGAGCUAACAUCUGCUGCCAAUCCUCCUCUUUUUGCUGAGGAAGACUGGCCCUGAGCUAACAUCCGUGCCCAUCUUCCUCUACUUUAUAUGUGGGACGCCUGCCACAGCAUGGCUUGACAAACGGUGCCAUGUCCCCACCUAGGAUCCGAAUCGGAUGAACCCGCUGAAGCGGAAUGUGCACACUUAACCGUUGCACCACCGGGCUGGCCCCUGAUCUCCAUUUUGAUGACACCUGGGGCCAUAACAGGCCAACAGGACUUGUGCAUUUUUCAUCUUUGAUAACAGAAAUCUGGGUGCUUUUCUGUUUAAGUCUGCCAAUGGCUUCUCACUGCUUUAAGCAUAAAAGAUAACGUGGCAGCCUAACUUUCUGCCACUCUGUUCUGGUAUCACCCCCUUCCCAAUAGACACACACACACACACUCCAGACACUCCUUCCUCCCCUUCCACACUUCUCUUCUCUUGUAUACUGGUUCUCUUGUGCUUUCUAUACUUGCCCUUGUCCUGGGUACCUCUCCCCAUCUCUGCCUUUUGGACCACCUAGACUAACUGUCCCCUUAUUUGAAAGCCUUUUCUAUCCUUCCCAGUCUGGGGAGGUGCCCCCAUCCCCUCCCAUUUCAGUCUGAGCAGCUCUUUCUCCCAACACUCAUGCACCUAUUCCGGACUAAAUGGACUAUUAUUUGUUGAUUUCUGUUACUCUUUCCUCCUCUUGGACUUGAGAUCCCCAGGUUCAUUGGUUGCAUUUUCUUUUUUAAUCUCUGAAGGCGGUAGGUGUCUAAUAAAUGUGUGUUGAACAA